AAACUUUCAACAACGGAUCUCUUGGUUCCAGCAUCGAUGAAGAACGCAGCGAAAUGCGAUAAGUAAUGUGAAUUGCAGAAUUCAGUGAAUCAUCGAAUCUUUGAACGCACAUUGCGCCCCUCGGUAUUCCGGAGGGCAUGCCUGUUCGAGCGUCAUUG
rnacentral:rRNA from 1 species